UACGUAGGGGGCAAGCGUUGUCCGGAAUCAUUGGGCGUAAAGCGCGCGUAGGCGGCCCGGUAAGUCCGUUGUGAAAGUCAAAGGCUCAACCUUUGAACGCCGAUGGAUACUGCCGGGCUAGAGUCCGGAAGAGGCGAGUGGAAUUCCUGGUGUAGCGGUGGAAUGCGCAGAUAUCAGGAGGAACACCAAUAGCGAAGGCAGCUCGCUGGGACGGUACUGACGCUGAGGCGACGAAAGCGUGGGGAGCGAACAGG
rnacentral:rRNA from 1 species